rnacentral:rRNA from 1 species
GACGUAGGGGGCCAGCGUUGUUCGGAAUUACUGGGUGUAAAGGGUUCGUAGGCGGUGUGGCAAGUCGGGAGUGAAAUCUCUGGGCUCAACUCAGAGACUGCUUCCGAAACUGCUGUGCUGGAGUGUGGGAGAGGCGCGUGGAAUUGCAGGUGUAGCGGUGAAAUGCGUAGAUAUCUGCAGGAACACCCGUGGCGAAAGCGGCGCGCUGGACCACUACUGACGCUGAGGAACGAAAGCUAGGGGAGCAAACCGG